rnacentral:rRNA from 1 species
GACGAACGCUGGCGGCGUGCUUAACACAUGCAAGUCGAACGGAAAGGCCCUGCUUUUGUGGUGUGCUCGAGUGGCGAACGGGUGAGUAACACGUGAGUAACCUGCCCUUGACUUUGGGAUAACUUCAGGAAACUGGGGCUAAUACCGGAUAGGAGCUCCUGCUGCAUGGUGGGGGUUGGAAAGUUUCGGCGGUUGGGGAUGGACUCGCGGCUUAUCAGCUUGUUGGUGGGGUAGUGGCUUACCAAGGCUUUGACGGGUAGCCGGCCUGGGAGGGUGACCGGCCACAUAGGGACUGAGAUACGGCCCAGACUCCUACGGGAGGCAGCAGUGGGGAAUAUUGCACAAUGGGCGGAAGCCUGAUGCAGCAACGCCGCGUGCGGGAUGACGGCCUUCGGGUUGUAAACCGCUUUCGCCUGUGACGAAGCGUGAGUGACGGUAAUGGGUAAAGAAGCACCGGCUAACUACGUG